rnacentral:lncRNA from 1 species
AACUGGUAUGUAUCCUCUUACUUCCUCAGAUAGUGGUGCUAGCUGAGGCUCUGUGAGCAGGAAAGGCAGACCCUGACCUAGACUAGUUAUGGAUUCCUUGAGGAUGAACCAAGGCUCCAAUGUAGUCAGUGUUAACGAGCAAGCUGACAGCUGGUUUCCUUGAGUAAUAAAUACUGCUUUAUUGAGGGCUCAGAAUCGGUCUCUGUUGCCAACAGACUGGACAUUCAGAGACAGCAGUUGGAAAAUCAGUUUCCAUAUGUGGUAGGUGAUACUGUUGGGUCCCUAUAUAUAGUGUCCAUAUCUGCCACCAUGGCUACUUCAUUUAUGUACCCAUUGUGACAAUUAUGGUAUGACUGAAGACAAAGACUGGCUAACAACAAGCAGCUAGUCAUUUUGUCUAUUUAUUGAGUACUUCUUUCAUGGUAGAUGCUUUUUUUGAGCAUUAUGUACAAUACACUUCAUGUUCCCUCCCACAUAUUUGCUCACAUUCCUCUUUCCCAUACCUCCUUAUCUCUAAUCUUCCAAUACUUUUCUUUCUAGAUCUCUGAUAAGAUUGCCAGGCCAUUGGCUACUUCCCAGAAACUUGUAAAUAUUCUCAAUUUCUAUAUAAAGUAGAUGCCAGGUAUACUGCUCAUAGCCUCUGCUCACUGGGAAGAUUUUCCCUCUCCGCUGUAUUUCAGGGCCACCCCCAAUAUGGCUGAAUGCAGUCUAUGUUUGGCUCACUGUCAUGUAUCAAUCAAGCUAAUUUCAACCAAGCUCAGACUUUUUCCGUCUCUUUUAGUUUUUAAACCAGAUUCCUCCAUAAUGUUAUGGGGCUGGUGAAGGUGUAUGAUGCAACUAUGGUGGGUAACAAAGAGUCUGGGCUAUGUAAUCAUGGCCUUGUUCCAUACCUCAGAGUCCCCCAUUGUGAAACUCCCAUUGAGGUUUGUCACAAACACCAUUUUGCGUAUUUUCUCACCACUGUCACCUCCAACAUCAUGGGGUUUGCCAGACCAUAUGGCUUAAGAAGCAAGGCUGCUUGCAUCACAGCCUUGACUUGAAUCAGGACACUUUUCUGCUCUAGGCUCCACUUAAAGUUGACCUUUCAUGUCACCAGGGCAAUAUUUCUAGGUGUUGAAUGUGUUGCCUAUAGAACACAAAGAAGCCUACUGGAUAUUAUGCUUUCCUCUUUAUGGUAGAGUAUGAAAGAUUCAUCAGGCUGUUUUUUAUUUUGGGAAGAAUCUCCCAGUAUAUCCCUGACCACUGGAUCCUCCCAAAUUUCACUAAAGUGUCAUGUCCUGAAUCUUCAGACAGUUUAUCUCUCACCUUCUGGAGCACAUGUCUUACUAAGGUCUUUAAUGUGCUAGCCAAUUCUUCCUUUCUUGUCCUAUCAUUAUGAUGUCAUUGAUGUAACAAAUCAGUAUGAUGUUCUGCAGGAUGUGCAGGUGAUUCAGAUUUUUUUCAAGCAAAAUUAUGACAGAGGGUAAGAGUACUAACAUAAUCCUGAGACAAAAUUGAAAAUUAAUGUCAUUGUCUAUUCCAUAUAAAUACAUUUCUGAUCUUCUUUUCUAAGUAGAAUGAAAAAGAACACAUUUUCCAAUCAAUGGCUGCAUACCACAUACUUAAAGUCUUAUUAAUCUGCCUAGAACAGAUUCAGGUUUGGCGUAGCAACUAUAAUCGUGUUUACUACUUGAUUAAGUUUGUAACAGACCACAGUCAUUCUCUAGGACCCAUCUCCUUUCUGCAGGGGCCACAUGGGUGAAUUAAACAGAAAUAGAGGGCUCACCACUUUUGCAUCAUUUAGAUCUCUAAUGGUAGGUAGCAACAACUUUCACCACAUUUACAGGAUAUAAUAUUGUAUUUUAUUUACUGUCUUGGUUGGGGGCUGGGGGCACUUUCAGAGGUUUCCACUCAGCCUUUUCCACUACUAUUGCUUUUACCCAUAGCCCAAGGACCUAACACGGGCUUUAGUCCAACUUCCAAGAAAGUAUUCUCAGGAACUGGCUAAAUGACCACCUGAACUCAGGAUCCUGAUCUCAGGAUCUGGCAGGCCAACUAUAAGCCAAACUCUAGCUGACUUAUGUAUUACCUGAUCCCUAUGCUCCCACACUCAUAGGGGGCCAUGCUGAUACUUCGGGUCUCUAUAUGUUUUUGUAUAGCUGUUUUAAAAAUGCUUGGUUGUUUGUAGGCAUCGUUCCCUCCCUCCACCUCCCACUGCUAUAAAUUUCAUAUGUCUGCACAAUUGUACUUGCCAUAGCACUCCUCUUCACCAGGAUAUUUUCCUAGGUCAGCAAGAGUGAAGUCUUUAGCAAUCUUAAACCGCUACAGCCUUGUGCCAGGGACAACUCAUGUCCCACCUGCCAACCAGGGUCACAUCUCUUCAUCCCCCAAGUAAACCAACCCCAAUCUCCCAUUUUCUCACCUGUUUUCUCAAUCUGUUCUCAGUACCACUUGCAUUAAUCUGGGUCAUCCAAGAGUCAGAUUCCACAAUGAAAUUAGAAGAGCAAGAGAUUUAUUAGGGGCAAUAUCUGUGAGGUAAAAAUAAGGCAGGAAAGAGGUAGGGAAAGAAGGUCAGGAGAAUCAUCAGACUGCAACACAAUCUGACCCUGGGUCCAUAAGAGAGAGAAGAAAAAGAAAAGUUGGAGAAAGUAUUUUAUGCUUCACUUUAGUUCUAGGGUAGUUUGGCAAGGUCAUUGGGAAAUCCUAGAGUCAAAGUUGUUUAUCCGAAGGUCCUGUGCCUCUCAGGAAGAGCUUGGGCUUGCCUCAGUAUUCCCACCUUGUUCUGUUAUUGGCUGGAAGUAGCCCAUAGAAAGCAUGAUUUUGCUGUACAGUAGAAAUUGACAUAACACUGUCAAUCAACUAUAAUGGAAAGAAAUAAAAAUCUUAAAAAAAGAAAACAUGAUUAUGGCUUAGAUGCAAUGAUGGAUGUUAGAGACUGCCCACAGUCAGGAAUCUGGGAGACACACUUUCAUGGCCACCAUAGAGUAGAACAAUUGGAGGAUAGUGAGGAAGAAUGAUAAUUUCUCUGUAUAGGAAAAAGAUAAUAUAAUAAAUGCAGGAGUUCCCAUAGUGGCUCAGCAGAAACGAAUCUGACUAGCAUCCAUGAGGACACAGUUUCAAUCCCUUGCUCUGUGGGUUAAAGAUCUGGCAUGCCAUGAGCUGUAGUGUGGGUUGGUUGCUAUAGCUCUGAUUUGACCCCUAGUCUGGGAACCUCCAUAUGCCAUGGGGUGGCCCUAAAAAG